rnacentral:misc_RNA from 1 species
CAUUUUUGCACAACCCACGUGUUUUAUAUUCGGUUGUUCGUUAAUUUCGUCAUGGAUCAUAUUAAAAAAGAUGAGAGAUUUUCCCAUAUAUCAAAGGAUCCAAAAUUCCGUAAAUUGGCCAGAAAGGAUAGAAAAGUUAAAAUAGACAAAAGAUUCCAUGGGAUGUUUAAAGACAAAAAAUUUAAAGUUACAUACACAGUAGAUAAACGAGGACGCCCGGUUAAAACAUCCAGUACUGAUCACUUAAAAAAGUUAUAUGAUUUGGAUAGUGAUGAAAAUGAAGAUGAUAGUGAAACUGAUGAAAGCCAAGACGAGGAUGAAAGUGAUGAAGAUGUAAGUGAAAAAAUUCAAGAUUCAAAGCAAAGAAAGAAAUUGAAGGAUACCAAUAAGAAAAGUGAGAGUAAGAGCAGUGAAGGAGAGGAGGAAGAAGAGAGUGGAAGUGACGAAGAAGAGGAGAGUGAAGAUGACGAAGGAAAGCUCGACCUUACCGGACCUGACUUAGCUAGGGGAGAGGGUGCCAUUGAUUCUAGUAGCUCAGAAGAAGAAUACGAAUUGGAAGAUGAACGUUUUGAUCAUGAAUGGGGAGAAGUAGAUAAAAAUGUUAAACGAUCAGAAGAAAUAACUUGCAGACUUGCAUGUUGUAAUCAAGAUUGGGAUAGGAUAAGGGCUGAGGAUUUACUUAUGAUUUUCAAUUCAUUUAAACCUUCUACAGGAGUAGUAAAAUCUAUUACCAUUUAUCCCUCCGAAUUUGGUUUACAACGUAUGAAACAAGAAGACCUUGAAGGUCCAAAAGAGCUAUUCGAGAAAGAGGAAAGCUUGGCUACUUCGAAUGAUCAAGUUGAAGGAGAAGACUAUCACAGAGAGAAAUUACGACAAUAUCAAUUAAAAAGACUUAAGUAUUAUUAUGCAAUAGUAGACUGCGAUAGUCCUGAAACGGCUAAUGCCAUUUAUGAGCAAUGUGAUGGUGUCGAAUUUGAGACAAGUUCGACUAAAAUGGAUUUAAGGUUUGUUCCGGAUGAUAUGACAUUUAGUGAAAACUUUAAAGCACGUGUUUCUGACGUUGAUUUACUAAAUUACAAGCCGAUUUUGUUCAAAACUACCGCUCUAAUGAGAUCUAAUGUUGAGUUAACUUGGGAUGAGACAGAUCGCUCUAGAUCAGCCAUUCUCAAUAAAAAAUUUAAGAAGGACGAAAUAGACAAUCUUAAUAUCAAAGAUUAUCUUGCAUCGUCUUCAGAGGAUUCUGCUUGCGAUGAAGAAAAUGGAAAUGAAAGUAAUGACGACGAUGAUAAUGAAAAUAUUAUUGAAAAAAAGAGAAACAAAUAUAAGGCACUUUUAGAGGAAAUUGAUACGAAAGAUGAGGAAAAUGAAAAAGAAGAUAAAAACGAUGUUAAUAUGGAAAUAAAAUGGAAUACUGGUCUUAAAGCUAAAUCCGAAGAAAUUGUCAAAAAAGCUAAAGAUGAUAAAGAAUUAUCUGUAUUUGAAAAAUACUUAGAAAAGAGAAAAGAAAAGAAAAAGCUAAAGAGACGAAAGACAGCAAUCAAAGAGAGUGAUGAGGGUGAAGAUGAAGAUAUGGAGGAAAACGGAUUUCAAGCAUUUAGUGACGAUGACGUAGGAGCAGAGUCUCCUCCACCCAAAAAGAAGAAGAAAGGCAAGAAGUCUAAAAUUGAAAAACGAGUACUAACAGCUGAAGAGGAGGAAGAGGAGAAAAAGGCUCAAGCAGAACUCUCUCUAUUAAUGGAAGAUGACGAUAAUAGAAAACACUUUAACUUAUCCUCAAUAAUAGAAGCCGAAAAGUUCUCUAAACUGAGCAACAGAAGAAAGAAAAAACUUUUGAAAAAGAAUAAAGAUCGAUUGAAACUUGAAAAAGAAUCACAGGACGACUUCCAAUUGAACCUUAAUGACGAUAGAUUCUCAAAAUUAUAUUCUAAUCCCUCAUAUAAUAUAGAUCCAUCAGCACCACAGUUCAAGAAGACCAAAGCUAUGGACAAUCUCGUCAAAGAAAAAAUCAAAAGAAGUAGUGAGAUCGUAAAUACUGAAAUUAAAAAAGUAAAGAAGGAAAAUAACGAUAUUAAGGCUUUGGUUGCAGCCGUUAAAAUGAAAGCAAACAAAAAGAAAAAGGCUAAAAGCUAAUUAUUAAUAGUAUAGUUUAUUUGAUUACUUCUUGUUUCUUAAGCUUGAGACAAAAUGUUCAGGUGUAUUUUACACUGUGUUAUAAGACUGUAUUUUUGUAAAAAUAAUACACUAAACUGAAUAUACAGUAAUUCUAAAGGAGGGUAUAAGAAAUAAAGAUGUCUAAAAACAUUAAGUACAUAUUUCUUUUAAAUUAUAUUAAUCAUUCCUGCUUUAUUCAUGCUUGCAGUACUUCCAGCAGCAAUUGGCUCCACUUGAUCAAUAGGUACUUUUUCUGGCUCAGGCCUCACUGACAAAUAAGGCAUGGAGAUAUUGGUCUUCAUCGGAGGCGCUCUUAUUAGAUCUCUAACGAUUACUGUAUGAACAAAAUGCGAUAUCCCAGCAAAUAUUGAAAAGAAUGUGCUAAGAAUAAACAAGCCAUAGGAGAAAGAAGGAUAGUUCAAAUAAGGGAAUGGUAGCCAGAGUCGGUCCAAUUUGAACAUAAUUCCAAAAACUAAAAUUGUUAUAGCCUUCAAAAUAGAACUUAUAAUGGUCAACGUAGUUAUGGAUUGGAUAAGACAAAUAGGUUGGGAUCUAUCUUGUAGCCCAGCCUCAUUAUUCAUACUGUCAUUUGCUCUUUCCUUAACCUUUAACCAGGCAAGAAAGCCCAAUAUUACAUUACAUAAUUCCAUUACGAAAGAAACAGUUACUGCAACUUGAACAAAAAUAAACCAAGGUGGCAUAAUCCAACCGCGAAUCUUAUAGUAUUCUGGAGCAAGAAUCCACCAGCAUCCGUGAUACGCUUUUUGAGACGUAUCGGCUGGUAGAACCAAGCCAGAGAAGCAUACCUCCCAAAGACCCAAUCGUCUGAACGGACUGUACACUCUGGGCCAGGAUAUAAUCCAAUAAGGUGUAGAGAAACCAAGACCAACAUUUAAACACGAGAGAAAGUUUAAAAUUAAGCCAGUUUCGAAUAUCCAUCUCCUCCCCUCUUUCCUAUUCAUUGUCUUAACCAUUCUUUCGUUUCUUACCCUAACGAAAGUAGUUCAAAGAAUGUAUUCACAGCUAUUGAACAAUAUUUUAGCUAUUUUCUUUCAGGUGGAGACUGAUCGUUCGAUUGUAUACAGGUAAGCAACAAUUGGCUGAUAAGAUUAACCUUUAGUAUGCACUACGUUUGCUAUCAUUUCAGGCAAAAAGAUAAGAGUCAUAUUGAAAAGUUAUUUAUUUACAUACAUAUAUACAUUUAUAUAAAUAAUUAUUACUCAAUCCAUAAAACCAAAUUUAAAUUAGAACAGGAUUUUUAGUUUUAACUUAGCUGAAAGUUGACGAAUUGACAAGUAGACUUUAUACUAUUAUUCUUUAUACUUUUAUAUUUUAACUAUAUUAUAUUUAAAAACAAUGAAAAACAUCUUAAAUAAGAUCAUAACAUUUUGUUCAAUUAUUUAGCAAUAUUUUGGACCAGUUUAGAAAAGUCUGUUUGAAAUUUUAAUAAUGUCUUGUCAAGAACACCGAUAGGAGGUACGCACUUCAAAACUUCUUAAAUUUUGUUCUAGAUGGCUCUACUAGUAUUUUAAAUUUGCAACGUGUUGGUCACGUGAUUCCGCGUAUCUCCACGUCACGGACAAUUCGACACAUCUUAUAUCCGCUAAACUUCUAUAUUCAAUUCUAUUUGCUUCUGAAAAAUCAGCAGGUGUUUGCCUAUUUUUGUUUGGAUCUUUAGAUUUGUCUUUAAAUUCCAGUUCAGCAUGGAUCAAUUGAUGCAAAUUGUCGAGCCAGCUAAACAAUUUACGAAAGAUUCAAUUCGUCUCGUCAAAAGAUGUACCAAGCCUGAUCGUAAAGAGUUUCAAAAGAUCGCUAUGGCGACUGCUAUUGGAUUCAGUAUAAUGGGAUUUAUCGGAUUCUUCGUCAAACUUAUCCAUAUUCCGAUCAACAACAUCAUUGUGUACGUAUAAUUACUUUUUGGUUUAUCCUAAAACAAAUCAGUAUAUUGGACUUUAUUAUUAUCAUGAUAUUCAAAUAGCAGUUUCUAGGUCAUACAAGUAACAAAUUAUCUAUUUAUAAAAACACCUAUGAAUCCUUCUAAACAAUUUAAAAGCUCUUUCAAAGAGAAUUUUAAAUUAGCAGGAAACCCCAAAAAAGGGAUUGUUACAUAGGAUAUACUGUAAAUUAAAUAGCUUAAAGUUUAUUUAAAAAUACUCAUAUAUUAGCUUGUAAUUUAUAAUAUAGAGACACCUAAAACACCAGUGUCUUUAUCUGCAUAUAUGUAUAGUUUGUAUACAUAAAUAACAUUUUAUAGGCUGAAUUAUUAAUAUUUUUUUGUUUUAUUUUUUCUUUAUACAGCGGCUCAUAAGGAUUUGAAAGAACUCGAAUUAAUUAGGUAGCACUAUUUGAAACAUUCAAUCAUCGUUAAUAAAUUGUUUGCAUAAUGGUUCAUCCGUAUCGGAGUUGUGUAUAUAAUUUAUGAAUUACAAAGUGCAUUCAAAGUAAAUCUAAACGAAAAAUUAUCAAUUUGAGGGCAGUUCAAUCUCUUAUCACUCCAUCUUCUGAUAAAAUAAUAGAUACAAACCACCAUUAGAGAAACAAUAACAUUGACCACUAAUAUGAAAAACAUGAACCGAACCCGGUGACCUCUUGGGAAUGACCGAAAUGUAUCGUUUUGUUCCGCAUCGCUACCUAUCGUUUUCGUCGUAUCGCUUUCACUAGACCUUUCUUUUCGACGUUGGUUAUGAUUAUUAAGCUAGAUUUGUGCAAGUAAUUAUAUAUUGCAAUGAAGGAAAGCUAGUUUAAGCACCUGUGACAAAGUUUUUCUGUUUGAUUUCUUGAUCUUACAUUUCCUCUUUAAUUCCUGUUCGUUGAACUCAUGCGUUUCCCACCAGCUCCAAUUUUGACAAGAAAUUCUAACGACAUCCUCUGUCGUUCUGUUCCUCCUUAGACUAAUCAACUUCAUUAACCAAGCAGACUCGCAUUUACAGCCAAUAACAUAUGGAAAUCGUAGAAUUCGAAUUCGUUUUAAAUAGCUAACAAGACCAUUAUUUAUGUUAACUAAGCGAAUAUUAGUUAAAAUGGAGAGCUCUUGCGUUAUUUUAAAGUUUAAAGCCCUCUUCCAGUUGACCGUUGAACCAGAAAUAGAGGACACAUUCAUGCGUAAAACCUGGUCAGUGAAUGAAUAUUUUUUGUUGCAGUCCUUUCCAGACAAUAUUUCGCUUAAUUCGUUUCUUUUAGAAGGAAAAUAAGAUUUAUAUAAUAUUUGCAUAAUGGAUUAUAUAAGAAUGAAUAAGUAAUAAAGAAAUAGAACUAAAUUAACUUUAAACCAUCCGUAAAAAUUAUAUUAAGUUGUUUUAUAUAGUUGAUUGUUAAUUUACGCGGUAAUUUACCAACAGCUACUAAAUUCAAUUCAUUAAUUUUAUCAAGAUGAAACUGGAAUUUUGCUGCAUUACUGGAAUCCGAGCAAUUACUAAUUGAUGCCUUAACUAUAGUAAUUCUAUCGUUGAAUAAAUUAUGCAAAUCAGUUUGAUCAAGACCGCCACACGUCAAAACGACUUCCGUAUAAUUUCCUUUCCUUGCACACUUUUCUCUCUUCAUCGAAGGACAAAUUAAUCUUAGUUUAUUAGAACUACAAUCGCAAAUAUUUUCUGCGUUUACUAGUUUAUAUAGAAUUGUAGUAAGAUUACAGAAUAGUACAAAUAAACUGCAAAAUUUACAAUCCAUCUGUCUUUUAUCUUUUGAAUUAUAAUUCAAA